UAACUAUUAUAUAGUACUCAGACAUCACUAAACAAACGAGUUUGGGUCCUCUGGCAGGCACGGUUAGCGUGAGCCGACGCCCGAAGGCGGCCUGCCAAAGCAACAAAGGUAUGUAUACACGGUUUGGGAAUAGAACCCAUUUCAAAAAACGGGGCAUUCUUUAAUGAUCCUUCCGCAGGUUCACCUACGGAAA
rnacentral:misc_RNA from 1 species